rnacentral:rRNA from 1 species
UGAGGAAUUUUCGUCAAUGGGCGAAACCCUGAACGAGCAACGCCGCGUGCAGGACGACGGCCUUCGGGUUGUAAACUGCUUUUCUCUGGGAAGAGUGAGGACGGUACCAGAGGAAGAAGCCCCGGCUAACUACGUGCCAGCAGCCGCGGUAAUACGUAGGGGGCGAGCGUUGUCCGGAGUUACUGGGCGUAAAGGGCGUGCAGGCGGUCUUGUAAGUUCGGAGUGACAGUUCCCGGCUCAACUGGGAAAGGCCUGCCGAAAACUGCGAGACUUGAGGGCCAGAGAGGGACAUAGAAUUCCGGGUGGAGUGGUGAAAUGCGUAGAUAUCCGGAGGAAUACCAAAGGCGAAGGCAGUGUCCUGGCUGGCAUCUGACGCUGAGGCGCGAAAGCUAGGGGAGCGAACAGGAUUAGAUACCCCCGUAGUCC